AAAGAUAAAGUCAAAGGAGGGAAGACUUCACGCAUGGCAAGGGGAUCUAUGAUGAAAAUGCUAUUCAUAGCCAAAGAAGGAACUGUUGGAGUCUGAGUGAAGAUCAAAACUUGCUAUAUUCUACUUUGUUUCCUUCGGCUUUAAUCUAAGAGUAUGAAUUCUUUCCUGAC
rnacentral:lncRNA from 1 species